AAUGGAGGCAACUCUGAUCCAGCCAUGCCGCGUGAAGGAAUAAGGCCCUAUGGGUUGUAAACUUCUUUUAGACGGGACAAAACCCCUUUACGUGUAAAGGGUUGAUGGUACUGUCAGAAUAAGCAUCGGCUAACUUCGUGCCAGCAGCCGCGGUAAUACGAAGGAUGCAAGCGUUAUCCGGAAUUAUUGGGUUUAAAGGGUGCGUAGGCGGACUGAUAAGUCAGUGGUGAAAGCCUGCAGCUUAACUGCAGAAUUGCCAUUGAUACUGUCGGUCUUGAGUACAGUUGAGGUAGGCGGAAUGUGUCAUGUAGCGGUGAAAUGCUUAGAUAUGACACAGAACACCGAUUGCGAAGGCAGCUUGCUAAGCUGUAACUGACGCUGAGGCACGAAAGCGUGGGGAGCAAA
rnacentral:rRNA from 1 species